AUUGAGCACUGACUCUGUGCCAGGCACUGUGCUAAGUGAUUUGCAUGUAGUGUCUCGUCCAGUCCUCCCAACAAACACAUCUGGGAAGCUGUAAAUGUGUUGUCCUCUCAAAGCCAGCUCCUGCCUCAUGGUGUUUCUAUUUUGGCCCAGAGAUGUUAUGAACAACAUCUGCCAGACGUUGGAACCAACGUCCAUUCUUCUCUGGUGCAGUGGACAGGACCUGGGUCUCAAACACAAUAAGCUAACUACAUCACUGGGGAGGAGAAGCCUGAAUCUACUGCUGAUGCCCAAGAGACCAUCAGACCAGAUGCCAAGCAUCUCAUCAAAGAGGACACAAAACUGAGGACAACUUCGCAUUUUGGACCCAGAGGGACUAAAAGAAUCUAGUUGCUCAAUUAGAAGACACUUCACCUGCCCAUUCUCAUUGGUGAGUGCACGUUCAUAGUCUUUGUUCUCAGCAGUGUCUGCAAUUGUUAGC
rnacentral:lncRNA from 1 species